ACGACCUUACUUGAACAGGAUCUGUUCUAUAGGCUCGUACCUCUGUAUCCUUGAUUUCUAUGGAGACAGGCCCUUAACCCUGGUUGAUGAACCAUGACCGUGCGAUCAGAGCGUGAUUAACGGCUACGAUCGUCCUCGGAUGUAUCCGGUGCUGUAGAGGAUCGUUACUCGGCUCGGUUCUACCUUGCCGGGGUGGUCGCACGGCGGUCUGACAGGUU
rfam:Capsella rubella cultivar Monte Gargano unplaced genomic scaffold scaffold_1, whole genome shotgun sequence.